ensembl:lncRNA
CUUGUGAUGUGUACUUAAGUCAGCACUGUUUUGCACUAAAUCCCUGCUGCUCCCCUCUUUCCCUGCUGGGCUUGUGUUGAGCUUAUGGCAAAUAAAACCUAUUUUUUCUACUUUUCCAUGAGGCACCAUAAGUGUAGAGACUGGAGUCUGCAAGCUCUUUGCUACCCUUUGAGCUUUAUACAAGAUCUUCCUGCAUGCACUGUGCACCUCAUGAAGCAAGCUAUCAGGGGCGUUUUGGGGAUAGCUGGGAUAUGUUUGUGUCUUUUUGGAGAUCCCCAUUUGUCACUGACAGGUAAGACGGGCUAGCUGUGCUGUCUCUGAGACACUCUGCUAUCUAGUUUCUCCUCAAGUUGGGGGAUUUGGGUGACCCAGCAGCCCCUAUUGUGUUUGCAUGCCACUGCCCCAGAGGAGCUUUACUGGAUGUAGUGCAAGCAACUCACAAGACACAGCUUCUCAUCAAAAAAAUUAGAAGAAUUGUUUUUCCCACACAAAGCUGCAGAAGAAUGCUGCAGUGUUGCUGGAGAUCUGGGACUGGAUUAAGCUGAAGUAGGAAGCUGGGGACAUGAAAACAAGGUGAAUCAAAACUGAAGAAAUUAUUCUUGUGAAACGUAAUUCACUUACACAGCUAGCAGGUGUUGUGUGGCUCUUAAUAGCUGCAAACCCAGAAAGUGUUCCUGCUACUAAACUUGGCUUGCUUUUCUCUUGAACUUUAAGUAGGCUCUUCCUUGGAAGAUGUAAAAUCUUGUCUAUAUUUAUAUCUACCGUUCUGCCUAAGUAAAAUGUAAAGUAAUAC